rnacentral:sRNA from 1 species
AUUGUUUGAUAAAUAUUAGAUAAAAUCUAUUAAUAACUUAAAAAUUAAUAUGCAAAAUUAUAACUUUUUAUUAUAUUAUUUGGGAUUUAAACUUUUAAAAUAACAAGAUUUUAAUUUUUGGUAUAUUUGUUAUUUCUACCAAGAAUAAUUAUAAUCUAAUAUAUAAUAUAAUCAAACUCGAAGAAAUUAAUAAUAUAAUUUAUUCUGGAGAAAUUUCAUAUAAUAAAUAUUAUAACGUUGUUUUGUAUUUAUUUUAUUUGAGUAAAUAUAUUUACUUAGCUGGUUUUGUUUAAUCGAGCAAAUUUCCGUAUAAUACCAGUUUAAUUUUAGGAAAUUAAAGUAAAAGAAUAUUUUACGUGUUACAAAAUUGUAUUCGAAUAAAAAACGCGUAAUAUUAAAUAAUAUUUAUUAUACGUUUAAUAAAACGCAUAAAUAAACCCGUUACUAACGAUUUAAUUGGUUUUAACCUAAUUUGAAUUUAAUAUGGUUAAACGUUUUGUUAAUAGUUUAAAUCUACGCCGUUGGGGUUCAUUGCGGUGGUUUAAUACGCAAUAUACCCUCGAUCCGGCGCGCAAAUACCGGAUCUGGUUUUUUGGACUACCGCCGGAGAUUGAUAUAAAUUAAAAAUGCAAUAAAAAUAAUAUAAUAAAGGGAAUAUGAGAUUAAAAAAGUACAAAGAUAUAAUUUUAAAAGUAUGCGGCCGUUUAAAUACCUUUUUUAAUUAUUUGCGAUAUGAUUUUCGUUUAAUAAGUUCUUCUUUUAAUAUUUCGAUCGAUUUGGUAUUACUAUAACGCGAUUUUACCAAUCGCACCGUCUUUUUGGCGUUUGUAAUACGCAAAUUAAUAUCCUAAUUAAAUUUAUUAUAAUUUAAUAUUUUUAACCUGUUUUGGUCUACAAAUAUAACAUCGCGGAUUAUAUUAAAUUCUUGCGCCGCAAAUACUUUAUAUUACGGUUAAUUCGGUUUAUAAUAAUAUUUUUUAACAAAAUGCGGGCGGAAAUUCCGGACCUUCCGAAUUUAUACCAUAACUGCGGAAUGAAUUCAAAAUUUUCAACCGAAAAAGAAUCGCCUGAAAAUUGGAAUUUUUCGGAUAAAGAUAAAGAGGUAAAUUAAUUUUUUAAUUCCAAAUUAAAUUUGUACUAAUUUUUUUAUAAAACAAUUAUGCGGAUAUUUUUUAAAAAUAAAUAUUUGUUAGCAAAAUAAAUAGAAAAAACGCGAAAAACGUCGCGUUACCGAAUAUAAAAAAAUUCGGGCCAAAUUGGCCGUCCAAAAUAUUGCGGCGCAAAUAAUAAAAUUAAAUUCGAUUUUUAAUUUAAACGGCGCGACAUUAAUCAAAUCGGUUAUUAUUUUGUAAACGCGGACUUUAAUACGGCGAAACGCGCGGGUAAACGCGUUUUCGAAAAUUAUUCUGGUUAUAUAUAUUAUCCGUUAUAAAUAAUGAAAAUAAUAACGAGCCGGCGUAUUAUAAUUACGAGCGAAAAUUAAUUAAAAAUAAUAAAACAAAAUAUUGGAAUUGUUAUAACGGGUACCGGAAAUAUAAACCAAUAUACAUGGAAAAAACCAUUUUUUUCGUUGCAAUCUUAUAUUAACCAAAUAGUUCGUCGAAUUUGCGUUUUAUAAUUGUUAUUUUCGUUAUAAUUUACCAGAAAAAUAAAACCAAAUUAUAUUACUAAUUAUUUAUUAUUAAUCGCGACCGCUCAGUAAUUAAUUUUCUAUAAUGGUAAUAAAGUUUUGGAAAUAAAACAAUUGGUAUCGCGGCGGUAAGAAUUAACAUUUUUUUGUUAAAUCGGGCCGAAGUUUUGGCGGUUAUUAUUACCAGUAAAAUUUCAAAACGCGUAUUUUAGGUAAUUUUGCGGAAAACAAAAAUACUUUGCAAUUUAAUAAUUAUAAUGUUAUAAUUUAAAGGUUCUUCCCGUUUUCCAAAUUAUUUGGGUGUUUUCCGGCGGAAUUUUAGCAGGGCGUUUUUGAUUAUUUGCUUAAAUUAUAGUACUGUUUUGCCGCGUAAAAAUAUAAAAUGCGCCGCAAUCCGUCCCAUAUUUUAUUUGUUAGCAAUUUCCAAAUAGAAAAUAUAUUUGUUUAAAGAGAAACUUUUUAUUUGUACCAUAUAUUAUUUAAUAUAUAUUAAACGUAACUAAUAUAUGGUAACCGUAACAUUUGCGCGGCAAAAAUAAGAAAACUUCUGCAAUUCCGGAUAUAUAAAUUUAAUAAAUUUUGUCUUCCCUUUUUAAUUUUUAAAUACGUUAUAUAAACUUAAUAAUUGUCGGAAAUAUUCGAACUAUUAUUAGGUAAAUAUUCUCGUUAAUCUGUCCGCAAAUACAAAAUUCGUUGGUAAAUAUUCGACCGCAAUUUUUCCAUUUUAAAUUAAUUACCGUAAUUAUAUAUUUUAUAUAUCGAUAUAUUCAAAUUUCGUUAAAGCUUUUUUAGUUUAUUAUAUUAUCAACCAAAUUAUAUAUAUAUAUAUAUACUAUUA